GGCUAAUUUCGUAUUUUUAGUAGAGACGGGGCUUCAUCAUGUUGGUCAGGCUGGUCUCGAACUCCUAACCUCAAGUGAUCCACCUGCCUCAGCCUCCCAAAGCACUGGGAUUACAGGCGUGAGCCACCACGCCUGGCCUUCAAAAUAAUUUUAAACUAGAAAAACACAGUUACAAAUGUUAGAGAUACUUUAAAAACAUUUAUCAUUAUUUUAAAAAUUAUAACUAUUGAUAACUCUCACCCCUGGAACUGAAAUGCAGCACUGUCAGGUACCUGGGCACACAGACUAGGAAUCUCUACUUUAAUGAGAGAAGGCUUGCACUUUUUUUGCCCUUGGAAACUUCUAAUUUGGAGGGACAUACAUUUUGUUUUUGGCCUUUUUGUGCUUAAUGUGUGAUGAACACCCUUGCAUAUGGCCCCUUAUAUAUCUGUGUACUUCCCUGGGAUUUAUUGUACCCAGGAACAGAAUUGUUGGGUCAUACAGUAAAUGCAUAUACUUUUUUUUUUUUUUUUUUUUUGAGACAGAGUCUCACUCCGUUACCCAGGCUGGAGGGCAGUAGUGUGAUCUUGGCUCACUGCAACCUCUGCCUCCUGGGUUCAAGCGAUUCUCCUGCCUCAGCCUCCUGAGUAGCUGGGAUUACAGAAGUCCACCACCACAUCCAGCUAAGUUUUGCAUUUUUGGUAGGGACGGGGUUUCGCCAUGAUGGCCAGGCUGGUCUGGAACUCCUGAGUGACCUCAGGUGCUCCACUUGCCUCGGCCUUCCAAAGUGCUGGGAUUGCAGGCGUGAGCCACCGCACCUGGCCCAGUAAAUGCAUAUCUAAUUUGACAAGGUACUUCCAGACAGCUCUUCGGAACAGCUGCCCUAGUCCACACUCCCAUCAGCCAUGCAGGAGGGUUUGUAGGUCCUUACACCCCCACCGCCACUUGGCAUUAUCCUGCUUCUUAAAUUUGUCGGGCUGAUAAACUGGUAUCUCACUGUUAUUUUAAUUCCUCAUACUUGCAAUGAUCUUGAACACCUCAUCAUAUACUGCUGGCUUUUCAAAUUUCUUCCUCUGCAAAUUGACUAUUGUAUGCUUUGGCUAAUUUUCUAUUGGCGUUGCUGUCUUCUUUUUCUUUCUUCCUUCUUCUUUUGUCCUUCCCCUUCCUCCUCCCCCUUCCUCCUGCCUCCUCCUCCUUCUUUUGUUUUGUUUUUAAAAACAGGGUCUUGCUUGUCACCCAGGCUGCAGUGCAGUGGCAUGACCACAGCUCACUGUAACCUCAAACUACUGGGCUCAUGUGAUCCUCCCACCUUAGCCUCCCAAAGUAGCUAGGAUGACUGGCAUGUGCCACCACAACCAGUGCUACGUGUUGAAGAUCAUCGUGUUGCCCUGUGUACAUCUAACUCACUGGUCUAAAGGUUAAGAGGUCCUCUGUGGAGUGCACCCAUCACUAUUUCCCUGUGUAUGCCCCUGGUGAUGGACACCCAGCAUGCCUUCAACUUCCCACUGUUGCAAACUACACCAUA
rnacentral:lncRNA from 10 species